UAGUAGAUUGACAAAAAUAGAAAAUCAGAUUCAAAUGAUAAAAUCGUUUCACUAUUUUCUUUGUUUCCAGUUUGUAACAUGGUCCUAUUUUUUUAUCGUCAUUUUUCUUCUCACGAGUGUCAUUGUUACCGUCCUCUACUGUUUCCGUGUAGUUUUUUUACCCCCUGCAUAAACUGUGGGAGGGGGAGGGGUUGAAAAUGCCUUCAAAAGAAAAAAGAG
rnacentral:ribozyme from 11 species